UGGGGAAUUUUGGACAAUGGGGGAAACCCUGAUCCAGCCAUCCCGCGUGUGCGAUGAAGGCCUUCGGGUUGUAAAGCACUUUUGGCAGGAAAGAAACGUCAUGGGUUAAUACCCCGUGAAACUGACGGUACCUGCAGAAUAAGCACCGGCUAACUACGUGCCAGCAGCCGCGGUAAUACGUAGGGUGCAAGCGUUAAUCGGAAUUACUGGGCGUAAAGCGUGCGCAGGCGGUUCGGAAAGAAAGAUGUGAAAUCCCAGAGCUCAACUUUGGAACUGCAUUUUUAACUACCGGGCUAGAGUGUGUCAGAGGGAGGUGGAAUUCCGCGUAUAGCAGUGAAAUGCGUAGAUAUGCGGAGGAACACCGAUGGCGAAAGCAGCCUCCUGGGAUAACACUGACGCUCAUGCACGAAAGCGUGGGGAGCAAACAGG
rnacentral:rRNA from 1 species